rnacentral:rRNA from 1 species
UGUUUCGGCUAGGGGGCCAUCCCGGCUUACCAACCCGAUGCAAACUGCGAAUACCGGAGAAUGUUAUCACGGGAGACACACGGCGGGUGCUAACGUCCGUCGUGAAGAGGGAAACAACCCAGACCGCCAGCUAAGGUCCCAAAGUCAUGGUUAAGUGGGAAACGAUGUGGGAAGGCCCAGACAGCCAGGAUGUUGGCUUAGAAGCAGCCAUCAUUUAAAGAAAGCGUAAUAGCUCACUGGUCGAGUCGGCCUGCGCGGAAGAUGUAACGGGGCUAAACCAUGCACCGAAGCUGCGGCAGCGAACGUAUCACUUAAAGUGAUUCAGCGGGUUACGAUUGACGGAGCGAAGCGACGUCAAAGCGUAUACAAAGUCGAGUCGGUUUAAGGAUACGUUCGUUGGGUAGGGGAGCGUUCUGUAAGCCUGCGAAGGUGGCCUGUGAGGGUUGCUGGAGGUAUCAGAAGUGCGAAUGCUGACAUAAGUAACGAUAAAGCGGGUGAAAAGCCCGCUCGCCGGAAGACCAAGGGUUCCUGUCCAACGUUAAUCGGGGCAGGGUGAGUCGACCCCUAAGGCGAGGCCGAAAGGCGUAGUCGAUGGGAAACGGGUUAAUAUUCCCGUACUUGGUGUUACUGCGAAGGGGGGACGGAGAAGGCUAUGUUGGCCGGGCGACGGUUGUCCCGGUUUAAGCGUGUAGGUGUGUGUUCCAGGUAAAUCCGGUUCACUUUAACACUGAGGCGUGAUGACGAGGCACUACGGUGCUGAAGCAACAAAUGCCCUGCUUCCAGGAAAAGCCUCUAAGCAUCAGGUAACAUCAAAUCGUACCCCAAACCGACACAGGUGGUCAGGUAGAGAAUACCAAGGCGCUUGAGAGAACUCGGGUGAAGGAACUAGGCAAAAUGGUGCCGUAACUUCGGGAGAAGGCACGCUGACAC